AGCAAUCCAUCUCAGUAAAAAUAAGUUCAGCUUACCUUGUUUGUCCUUGCCUUUUUAAAAUUUGGACGACUUUUUCUUGAUAUUGCACUUGCUUUUAUUAAUUAUCUAUUAACAAACACAACUCUACUUCCCAUUUCAACCAAAACCUUUUCAAUUAUCCUAACCAAAGUAUCAACACAAACUUUUGUGACCAUACAACUUCACAAUAAUUAAGGUUUAAAAUAAAGCAUAAGGGACAUAAGAUUUGUAUUGAGUUCAUAAUGACUAGCAAAAGGGGAAAAUUCAACCAAAAAUGCAAAAGAACACAAAAAAGGAAAUCUAAACCUUGAAAAUAAAUUAGUCACCGAAAAAAAAGUCCUAUUCCUCCCUUUAAUAGUCCUUUGUUCACCAAGGAUGGUUUCCCCUUUGGGGGGGGGGGGGGAGGGGGAUUUGCUUUUGGGGUGUCCUUUGCCAAUUGGGGCUCGUUGAUGCUGUUUGAUUGCUCUUCUCUCUCUUUUGAUCAAAAUAUUUGUUGAUGUUUGAUGUUGGUUUCUUCUUGCUCCCAUCUUAUGAAAAUCCAAAUCGCUUUCCUUAGUUUGUAUUUUUGGUUAGCUUUAUAGCGUUAGUUCCUUUUAGCUAACUUUGGACUCUUUGAGACCCUUGUAUGUAAUGAUUUCUAUUCCUUUUGCUUAUCCUAACCACUUGUGUUUGGAGUGUGUUGUCUUCUAACUUUUUGUGCAAGGUGCAAAGCAAGAUAAUUCCAUCGGAGCCGAUGUGGUAAAGAAUGGUAAUCUAUGAUGGAAUUGCAAUUUGGUGCACGUUUGGUGAGAAUGAUGUCUUUGAUCGGAAGCUGGUGGAUGCAUUCAUCUCAAUCAAUUGACUAGUUGACAUCAUUAUCCAGAGAUGUGUAUGAGUAAACAAAUCAAGAUUUGAAAAUAAUACGUGGGAAGCUAAAUGUGGGAUGAAGAGGUAUCUUGUCUGUUGCUGUUGUGUGCUUAAUUCGUACUUGGUCAGUAUGCCCGAGUCGAGCUGCAGUAAAGCUUAGCAUGAAGGUGAGGAGGAUGAAGGUGAUACAAAAGCUGACCACUUUGGACAUUGUUGUAUUGUUUGCACUUAGCUAGCGUAUAGCUUAAUGAGGUUACUGGUAUAUCAUACUUGGGUGUGGUAUAUAUAAUCAAAGGAAUAAGAUUCAGUAGACAGGGUACUGUUUGGUGUGUCUAGGCCCCAGUAAGAAGACGUCGUAAAAUAACAUUACCAAACAUUCAAAACUAGGCUGCGUGAGAAUCGUACGUAUGUCCUUAGAUUAGACCUUAAAAUUUAAAAUAUGCUGAAAUAAGAAUGUAUCAUGAAAAGCCAAUAGGUAAGAUAUGAUUCUCGUGAAAUGUGUGAACACCUUUUGUUCAUAUAUGCUUCCUGAAUUGACGAAUUUGAUCUUAAUAUUCUGGAAAAUUGAAUUUAUUUAUUUUUUUUUUUUUUGGAAGAUGUGAAUUUUUUUUGCUUUGCUCGCGUCAAUAUCAUUUGUGACCCAAGGUUUGGUGGUUUUUCCGGUAUCAAACAACCGACUUUCUUUUUUUGUUGUCCAAAAGGCUAAGAUUUGAGUCAUGUGAGUUGCUCGAAAAUAGGAUGCUAUAACUAAAAUUCUACAAUGCCUACAAAAUACCAUUCUAAGUGGGUCAUCUCUUAUGUUUUCUUACUCUGGAAUUUUAUGGAGGAGAUUAAAGAAGACAAUGGAGUAAUCAAGGCUUGUUGCUCAAUUUUCCAUGCAAGAAAAAUGGUGCUUGGGGACUAAUGUGGAGCAUAAUUAACAUCUCUUUCAUACCUACACAAACAUCUCUUUCAUACCUACACAAACAUAUCUACUACAUCCGUUACAUAUUAUUUGCAAUAAUUAUCUUGGCUUGUUCUCUUAGGCAAAAUUUCUUAAUGGGUGAUUAUUAUAGUUAGAGAUAUGUUAUUAAAAGUAGCAGAGAGAAAGUGAAAAUCAAUUUCUUAAAUUAGAGGCCUGUGGUUAUGUGAGUAUGUGACUUUAAAAAGUUGGAGACAAAAAUUGGGAACCAAAUUUUAUGUAGGGGCAUCUGAGUUUAAAUUUUAAGUACUCACCGUAAGAAAGUCAACUGCUAAUCAUCGCCCACAUAUCUCUACAUAAAGCCCACAAUCAUUUUUUUAUUUUGACGCUUUUACCCUUUUUCUAAUUUGUAGCCAAAACGAAAUUCUCUCUCACGAAAAAUGUGGAGCAGGACUGGAUCGUCGUGGGGCGCCGGAGAGCCGUCAUCGUCGUCGGAAAACGAGAAUUAUGGUGGAGAUGGAAAUGAUUACAGUGGGAUUUUUG